AUAACAUUCGGACCGUCGGUCUACCGAGCAAUAUCACCCGCUCGGUGGAAGAUCUUCCCUCCGUCGU
rnacentral:pre_miRNA from 1 species